GAAGUAAAAGUCGUAACAAGGUUUUCGUAGGUGAACCUGCGGAAGGAUCAUUAUUGAAGAACAGAGCGCGCUUUAUUGCGGCUCGACCCUUCAUCCAUACACCCUGUGAACUGUAAUACCCUUAAUUUAUUAGACUCUACAAGUUGAAGAAUGUAACCCUUUAUUAAAGAAACAAAACUUUCAACAACGGAUCUCUUGGCUCUCGCACCGAUGAAGAACGCAGCGAAAUGCGAUAAGUAAUGUGAAUUGCAGAAUUCAGUGAAUCAUCGAAUCUUUGAACGCACCUUGCGCCCUUUGGUAUUCCGAAGGGCACACCUGUUUGAGUGUCAUGAACCCCUCAACCCUACAAUUUAUUUAUUUAAAUGGUAGAGUGCCUUACAAUUUAUUGUAGAGCGCCCUGCUAUUUAUUUAUUUAAGUGGUAGGGGGCCUCAUAAUUUAUUGUAGAGUGCCUUGCUAUUUAUUUAUUUAAAUAGUAGGGUGCUUUAUAAUUUAUUGUAGGGUACCCUACUAUUUAAAUUAAAUCGUAGAGGCUUGGAUGUUGAGUGUUGCUGUGUCUUACAGCUCGCUUUAAAUAUAUCAGCAAUCUUUGUACUACUCGGAUUGACUCGGCGUGAUAAGAUCUUCGUCGAGGACGCUUUAACAAGCGGCCGAAAAGUAUUAGAGUAGCUUCUAACCCGCCCCUAGUGCAUUAUAUU
rnacentral:rRNA from 1 species